AAGUCAUAUGCUUGUCUCAAAGAUUAAGCCAUGCAUGUCUAAGUAUAAGCAAUUAUACCGUGAAACUGCGAAUGGCUCAUUAAAUCAGUUAUCGUUUAUUUGAUAGUACCUUACUACUUGGACAACCGUGGUAAUUCUAGAGCUAAUACAUGCUAAAAACCUCAACUUCGGGAGGGGUGUAUUUAUUAGAUAAAAAACCAACGCCCUUCGGGGCUUCUUGGUGAUUCAUGAUAACUUUACGGAUCGCAUGGCCUUGCGCCGGCGACGGUUCAUUCAAAUUUCUGCCCUAUCAACUUUCGAUGGUAAGGUAUUGGCUUACCAUGGUUUCAACGGGUAACGGGGAAUUAGGGUUCGAUUCCGGAGAGGGAGCCUGAGAAACGGCUACCACAUCCAAGGAAGGCAGCAGGCGCGCAAAUUACCCAAUCCCGACACGGGGAGGUAGUGACAAUAAAUACUGAUACAGGGCUCUUUUGGGUCUUGUAAUUGGAAUGAGUACAAUUUAAACCUCUUAACGAGGAACAAUUGGAGGGCAAGUCUGGUGCCAGCAGCCGCGGUAAUUCCAGCUCCAAUAGCGUAUAUUAAAGUUGUUGCAGUUAAAAAGCUCGUAGUUGAAACUUGGGUCUGGCUGGCAGGUCCGCCUCACCGCGUGUACUUGUCCGGCCGGGCCUUCCUUCUGGAGAACCUCAUGCCCUUUACUGGGCGUGUUGGGGACCAGGACUUUUACUUUGAAAAAAUUAGAGUGUUCAAAGCAGGCCUUUGCUCGAAUACGUUAGCAUGGAAUAAUAGAAUAGGACGUGCGGUCCUAUUUUGUUGGUUUCUAGGACCGCCGUAAUGAUUAAUAGGGACAGUCGGGGGCAUCAGUAUUCAAUUGUCAGAGGUGAAAUUCUUGGAUUUAUUGAAGACUAACUACUGCGAAAGCAUUUGCCAAGGAUGUUUUCAUUAAUCAGUGAACGAAAGUUAGGGGAUCGAAGACGAUCAGAUACCGUCGUAGUCUUAACCGUAAACUAUGCCGACUAGGGAUCGGGCGAUGUUCUUUUUCUGACUCGCUCGGCACCUUACGAGAAAUCAAAGUUU
rnacentral:rRNA from 1 species